rnacentral:rRNA from 1 species
UACAGAGGAGCCAAGCGUUGUCCGGAUUGACUGGGCGUAAAGCGCACGCAGGCGGAUGCGCGCGUGGGGUGUGAAGUCUGGCCGCUUAACGGCCAGGCGCCAUCCCAUACGGCGCGUCUGGAGUGAUGCAGAGGUCGAUGGAAUUGCCGGUGUAGUGGUGAAAUGCGUAGAGAUCGGCAGGAACACCCAGGGGGAAACCAGUCGACUGGGCAUCUACUGACGCUGAGGUGCGAGAGCGUGGGGAGCGAACCGG